UUCCUACAGUUUAUUAUCAAUUUUCAUGAAUGGUUUCCCCAAGCCCAAUUAUGAGGUUGAAGAAAACAGCAUUCAGAUUCUUUAAAGUUCCUUGCCAGUUUUUGAAGAGAUUGGAAUUUUAACCUGAGUAAUGAUUACUAUUAAAAGGCUGUUUUUCUUCAGCCUGAAGUUCUGGUAGCUUGACUAAAAACAAGGACUGCUGUGCAGUUAUGACCUUGAGCUGGUGACUGUUCAACUACAAAGCUAAGGUGCUGCUUGUGAGGAAGUAUCUGUACCUAUGAAAAAAGGCUCUGCUACUCCAGUUUCAUCCUACAGACCCUGAGUGCCUUUAACUAUUCUUUUUCAACAGCUGUAAGAAGUUAUGAUGCAAAAGGUAUUGUGAACAUUUCUUUAAAGAUUGGCACAACAAUCCAUCUCUUAAGGGUCCUGUAUUGUAUGAACACCUUUAAGUAUUCCACCAUCAAGCAAACACAUAAAACUAUGUAUCAUGGUAUUUCUAGCUGACAGUUGUUGCAUGCCUUCCUGUUUUUAAUGCAUUUAAGGACUCUUGCUGAGACAAGUGGGGAGUUAUGAGUUGAGCUGAGUUUAAGGGGUCUGCGAUCAGGAGGCAGAUUGAGCCACAGCAGUGCCUAGAUACUGUGAUGUUUUUUCUCACUUUCUUUCACUCAUAGAAUAAGUAUUUAGGAAUGAGUAUACCCUGAUGGACAAUAUUUGGGAAUAUGUACUGCUGAUGGAUGUAAGUCUACUUGUUCACUUGGUUAAAAUAUAUAUCUUCUAUCUGUGUAUAAACACAAGGUAACUUUGGAGCUUUCAGUAGAAUUACUCCAGAGGAGCCUCACUCCAAAUCCUGUCACAUCCCUAGAUACUUCUUAAGGUUGUCCUAGAUCUUGUCUCCUAACCAGUCCAGGGACUUGCUGCUAUGCCCAUCUGACCAUGCAUUAGGUUUCUGUGGACAGAAGCCCGUGGAAGUAAAAGGCUGACCUCAGCAUGGAGUUAAGAUGCAGUCAAGACCAAGGAGCCCAGAAGAACUCAAACAUCUCCUAGUUUACGUAUAGGCGAGGUCCCCUGUGCAGAUGGCAGGUAAAGAGAGGAAAUCUGUAGGUCAUAAAUCUGUAUUUACUUGACUGAAUAAAUAACCCCAUUGUUGGAGAUUUAAAAACAAACAAAAUCCCAACAACUGUAUCUUCACAUUAGAGAAACAAGCAUUAUUUUAUGGGACGUCCAUAAGUAAGCGAGGUGCCUUCGGGUACUUGGCUUGGGCAUGCAGUGUGAUUGACUGUUUGGCCCAGAGACGUUUGGUCUGGUUUUUAACCAUGAAGAAAUUACUUCUAGUAACAUUUCCCAAACAGUACUAAUGCCAGUAGUACAUACUUCUUAGCUGAUAUGUUGAAAGAAAUUAACACAACAUUUCCAUUCUUGAGUUAUUGAAGUCACCGAGUUAUUAAAGCACAGAAAAUACCUGAAACUGAAACCAGAAAAGUGAGAUUUUUCCACACUUAAAAAAAACAAGACUGCCCAUGAACAGAACCUUUCAUACCAAAACACACUCCCACAGCUUCUGAAACUAUAAAAGAAACAAAAGAAGAGGAAAAGAAAGGGAAUUUUACUGUAACUGGGAGCAAUGGCAGAUUUUUAAGAGUAAGGAAUAAGUAUGGAUGCUGACAGUGGUUCUUAAUGUCUGAGGAUGAGUUUUUGUUUAGGCAUGAAUAACUGAAGAUGCAGGAGAAAUUCUCUUAAUGGGAGGAGAAGUAAUGCUGGAGAAGCGGUCUGAAUUUAUUUCACGCAAUACUUUUUUAAUAACAGUGUCGAUUAAAGACACCUGCUGAAGGUCUGUAAUGCUGGUUUACUGGGGAGAAAAAAUAACAAAGUUCUUUAGCCAUCCUGUCUUCGGUUCAAUAUUAUGGACUGUUAAAAGGGGGUUUAUGUGUGCAGUGUUAUUAACCGAGAUUCUGCUCAAAUUGAAGUCAGGCCCACAAACCUUGCUUUCUAUAGGACCUUGCUAGGUUUCUAAAAGAAGAAUUUAAAACUGUACAAGAUAAUUAGUACAUUCUUGCUUUAUUUAGGAUAUUUUAAAGGCAGUCAGUCUUGGUAGAUAUGUUUCUGAACACUUGUGCUCUCUCUUAUCACAUGUGAUUUCUUUCUAGUGAGGUUAAAGUGCAACAAAAAUGGACCAAUGUCCUGUACGAAGUCAUUACUAUUACUAGAGAGAAGAAGAAAAUCCACCUCCAAAGUGACCAAAGUAUAACUUGUAAUAGAGCACCCAAUAUUUUCUGCUGGCUUUGUCAAGGCUAGAAGAUAUGGGCUCAGUUAUGAGACACGUUGCGGCAGAUGGCGAUGGGUACGGAACCCCAAAGACUGUGGCCUGGAAAAGAAAUUGAAGUCUGAGUUUAUAGCGAGCGCAAUGUUGUCUAACUGUGUUUAAUAUCGCCAUUUGUUUAAGCUUAAAUUAUGACGAUGAAGAUAAAGUAAUAACACACUGCGUUUUCAUCACUUGAGUUUGGAGAGGCCUCGUCUUUUUCCGUGCCUGUAGCCCUGAUGAUGAUUCCUUUGGCAGCUCUGCCGGCGAUAAGAGGAAUAACUCACCGCUGUCAGGGAAGCUGGCUGUUUCAUCACUGACAUGAGAGCCCGGCGUAACUCCGUGGUGAUCGCUGUCUAAAUGACUUAUGUAAUUUCUUCAUCUACUUUUUGAUUGAGGAGUGAUAACUCAGGCGAUGAGUUAUUUGGCAUCAGCCUCAGAGACAAUCUGUUUUCCUUAAAUAAAUCCUGAGGCACCUUUCAGCCACCCAGUUUUAAAAUAAGCCUGUAGUGGAUCGGGUCUGAUGUGCUUGGCAGAUUUGGCCAAAGGAUGAAGUUAGGGUUUGCUGUCAUUAUUCCGCUUUGUUUAUUGUUCUGUCGUUAAAUGAGAGUUCUAGAUGUAGUACUGAGGAAAAUGAGAAGUGGGGCGAAAGGCAGUUUUUGUGUUACAGCACAGGGGCAUGGCAGGGCAUUUUGUCCCUGCUGGCAGAGGCACUAUUUUGCUCAAAAGCACACAGUGUUGUCCAAGAACCAGAGAGGAAAAUGCACACCAACACCAGCCUGGAUCCGUAGCCUGGGAUGUGGGUGAUGUACCCCAGAGAAGGGAAAAGAGUAAUCAAUUUUUCUUCUACAGCUGAAUACAAAUCAUAGCUCAGAGUAUCUGCGUCUGAGGUUUAAAUGUAGAGUGCCAUUACACAAGGUAGCAAGUUGCUGCGUGUUACAUUUAGUAUGCAACAGGUUGAUUUACGCUGUGAGCCUGGCAGGAUUUCAGGCAAGGUUUUGCCACUGAUUUGUUGGGAACAGAAAUGGUUUCCUUGCUGAAAUCACAAAGAUGGGAGCCUUGGCUUGAGUUUUAUUUGCAGGGUUCCUAACGGAGCUGUGGAGUGCUAAAUAUAACCUGAAGAGCUGCGGAGGUGGUGGGUGUUUCAGGCUUCACCUUCGUUAAUAUCUGCUGUACACGUGCCUUUAUUAAAGCAAGACAAUUCAAUCUUACAGAAAGGGUUGAAGUUAAUGUUUACGUUAAACUAAUCAACUUCCCGUGUUUCUCUUUUUCAACACUUUCAGGCUCUUUAGUUUAGACAGAGCAGUCGGUGACGGGUAUAAGCAAGCUUUACGGUACUUACGUUACAUGCAUAGGGCUCCAGUUAGGAUCUACAUCCCUUUGUAGCAGGUGUUAUGCACAAGUGCCUGGCGUGUUUUCUUUUUGAAAGUGUGCACAAUGCAAGCAGCAUCUUCAUCAGGCUUGUGUCUUCAUUUGGGUCACCGGAGCAAAGAUACCUACUCUCUUCUCAGUUCUGUUUACACUUUGAAAUGACAGUGCAGCGUUGUAUGGUUACUUUCAAAUAGCUCUUAACUAUGCAAAGGUUAGUAUUCACCAAAGGAAAAAAGGAAUUGAAUGAUAAUAGAUUUUAUGUGGGAGGCUCAGCCUUGGAUCUGAGAGCAGUCACCCAAAACAAGCGAGAAGAGAGUUCUGACGAAGUGUUGUCAUUCUUUCUUUUCUCUCACUUUAUGCUGACCUUUUUCUGUUUUUUCCAUUACAUGUGCAUAAGUAGAUUUUUAUUGGUAUUUUCCUUGUAGUUUAGGAGGUGUUCCUUCAUGGAAAAGUGGGACGUGUGGUCUUCCUCAGUGUCCAGAAACAGACUGCUGUGCUGCACAGAAUCAAAAAACUAACAGAAUUUGUGGCAACAGGUGAAGCAGGGUUUCAGCUCCACCCUUCCCCACACGCAGGGAGUGCUUCAGAUGGAAAGCAGCCUGCUGCGUACCCCUGUGAGCAGUACUGGGAGCACCCCCUGUGGGUGUGGACACACCGUGCAUUCUGAGAGCAAAAUCUGCCAAUCAGGGCCAAUCACAUGAGUGAUUCUGCGGAGGCUGAAGCAGGAUUGCCGAACUCAUUGUCAUGCGUGGCUAAACAGAGAAUUGAACCUUGUGAAAGGCUGCUUUUCAGGAAUGGCUGCAACAGUCUUGGGUUCAAUAUUUUUGAAGAGCUGUAGAGGCCAAAAUAUCCACCACUAUUGUAUUCAUUUCAAUAUGACAAAACUUACUAAGAAGAAACAAAGAGUGACAUCCAAGACAUCUGUGAUCAUGGAAACUACAGAUUUCCAAGCAGGAAGCACAGUGCUUAUGUGCAUCAUUUAUUGGACGUUCCUGAGAGUAAACUGGAGCGGUCACGGCUGAUCAGCAAAGAGAGGCUUUCAGAAAGAAGAGUCAUUCUAAAACAUGAAAAGAUACCUAAAUGUUGAAAAGUGAAAGGACCAUAAGCACCGACAGGUGUAGUAUUAAAGAUAUUAUUGGGCAGAGCACAGGUGAGACUGAAACCUAACUUAACAAGAGAAUCCUUCUUCCCACACAUCAGGAAGGGAAAACAUUGUCAGUGAGUCUGCAUAUGAAAAGGGUAUAAAGUGAACCCUCAGGGAGGACAAAGUCACUGGAAAAAACCUGAACUCUUUGUCUCCUUGUUCUCUGUGGAAUAAAUUGGGGAAAUUCUCCCACCAGGGCCCUUUUCAGGCAUUCAGGGAACUCCACAGAGUAUUACUUGUGAAUUGUAUCUGAAAAAUGAUACAAAAGAGAUGACUCUCUAGGAUUUGAAGAAUUCGUCAAGAGUUCUAGGAGAACUCAGGGAUGAAAUAUCUAACAGCAGCACGUAACCUGUCACUUCAUUGUUCCUCUGUAUGUGAAAAUCAGAAGGUGUCAAAUGAGAUGUCAGUCAUGAAGAAAGGCUCCAGAGGUAGCCAGCAAAAUAAAAUUAGACAUCUGUUCUGGGUGAACAAGUAGAUAUUGUAACAAGCAAUCAAAUUAGUAUCUACCUGAAUAAAUAUGAUCUAAUUAGUGAGAGUUAACAAAGCACUUGGAUUUGUUUGAAGAGGUCAUUGACGUGUAGAUGAAAACCAUCUAACUGAUGCGGUCAACUUGGAUUUCCAAGAGGCUUUUGACAGAACUUAUCAAAGUGUUUCAGGAAAACCAAGCAACAUAAGACUGUUGCUGGCAUAAGAAGGAAAGCCUUGAAAUGUGAUUUGAAAGACUUGAACUCUAGAUAGACCACCACUGGAUUUAAGUGCACAUUCAUUUUUUUACACAGGAAAAUCAAUAGUGAAAUUCCAUACGGUGUCUUUGUUGGGACCUGUACCAUGAUAGUCUUAAAUCAUAGACUCAUAAAAUAGUUUGGGUUAGAAGGGACCUUAAACACCAUCUAAUUUCAUCCCCCGUGCCAUGGUCAGGAAUAGCUCCCACUAGACCAGAUUUCCCAAAGCCUCAUCCAGCCUGGCCUUGGCCACUAGCACAGAUGGGGCAUCCACAGCUUCUGUGGGCAACCUAUUCCGGUGCUCCACCAUCCUUGCUGUGAAGAAUUUCUUUACGUCUAAUCUAAACCUACUCUGUGGUUUACAACCUUUCAGUUUAAAACCGUUACCCCUUGUCUUAUCAAUGACCUGGAGGAGGGAAGUGAUUAGUGAGGUGGCGAAGCUUUGCUGAUGAUAGGAGGUUAUACAAGAGUCUAAGGACAGAGGCAGACUGUGCAAGAUGUUGUAAGGCUGUACACUAAAAUGAUGGGUGCAUCUCAGUGUAGAUAAAGGUAGGCAGAGUAGUACAGUCAGGGAAGGUUAAUCCUAUCUUCACUUCUUGGGCCAUUUCAGAGUUGGCCCAAAGGUCUUCAGGAACAUUUCGGUUACAGUAGACAGUUUCAUGAAAAUACUGGCUUAGUAGAGAAAGAAGGAAAAAGUUAUAGGUUAGGAUUUAUUAUUAAGCAAGUAGAGAACAAAAUGGAAAGGAUAAUUAUGUUGCUGUUGAAGUCCAUAUACCACUGUAAAAAUCCAAGGUUUGCAUGCUUGAAUACAGCAUGCAGUUCUAUCUUGGAAAAGGCAUGCUGGAACUAAUAAAUAUUCUUGGGAUAGCAGCGAUGAUUGGUCACAUACUGUGACUUCCAUACAGCAUACAAGGAACUUCAUACAUGGAAUAGUCGAAACUCUGGAAAGAUAUGACUGGGGAAAUGUAAGAAGGUAUCUGCAGAACUGAGAGGCCUGCAGAGCAGAGGAGUGGGCUUGGCUUUUUGCCUUCUCUCCUAAUACAAGAAUGAAGUAUACCGAAAGAAGCUGGUAAGGGUUUUAUCCAGAACAAACUGAAGGAACUAUUUCUUCAGGCAACCUGUGUGGACUAGUGGUGGUAUUCUUCAAAGAACUUUCUGGAUCAAGGAGUUUACGGGGACGCAAGGGGUAAAUCCUUGGAAGAGAUGCUGUAGAGUGGACUAACUAGAUAAUCGCAUCACCUAACCUGAAAAUGGAUGAAGGCUGGGAGGCCGUGAGCGUGUUUACCCUGUCCUUGCUUUUGCUCUCAGAGUUCUGUGAUAGAUGGACCCAUGGUCCGAUCCAACACUGAAGUUUGUACGUAACCUUCUUACACCAAAGCCAGGGUUAAAUAAAUGAAGUUACUAACUGCUUAAAUACAUUUGUAUCUUUCAAGCUCCCUAAGUAAUCAUAAUGUUACUGCAAGUUAGGACUGGAAGGGACCUUAAGGAGUGAACUAAUCCAUCCCCCUUCCAUGGUAAGCAAAAUCAAUUAUGU
ensembl:lncRNA